AGAGCUUGCUCUUAUGGGUGGCGAGUGGCGGACGGGUGAGGAAUACAUCGGAAUCUACUUUUUCGUGGGGGAUAACGUAGGGAAACUUACGCUAAUACCGCAUACGACCUACGGGUGAAAGCAGGGGAUCUUCGGACCUUGCGCGAUUGAAUGAGCCGAUGUCGGAUUAGCUAGUUGGCGGGGUAAAGGCCCACCAAGGCGACGAUCCGUAGCUGGUCUGAGAGGAUGAUCAGCCACACUGGAACUGAGACACGGUCCAGACUCCUACGGGAGGCAGCAGUGGGGAAUAUUGGACAAUGGGCGCAAGCCUGAUCCAGCCAUACCGCGUGGGUGAAGAAGGCCUUCGGGUUGUAAAGCCCUUUUGUUGGGAAAGAAAUCCAGCUGGUUAAUACCCGGUUGGGAUGACGGUACCCAAAGAAUAAGCACCGGCUAACUUCGUGCCAGCAGCCGCGGUAAUACGAAGGGUGCAAGCGUUACUCGGAAUUACUGGGCGUAAAGCGUGCGUAGGUGGUUGUUUAAGUCUGUUGUGAAAGCCCUGGGCUCAACC
rnacentral:rRNA from 1 species